rnacentral:lncRNA from 1 species
UUUUUGCCCUUCUUCUGCAUCUGUUUUUUUCUCUUCAAAGAUUACAUGUAUUAUAUGUGAUGAUUGUAAAAUAACUAUCUUUAUCCUUCAAGUCCUAAUUUGUUUCCAGUUCUUUUUUUAUAUUUAUUUGAUUUUAUGAUUUUUGAAUGCAUUGUUGUAGGAUUUUAUUCUUGCAUGUUACUAAUUUGGUUUGAUUUACUCAUGGUUGUUCGAAAAUUGAUUUUCCCAUUUUUAUUCUUCUCACUUUUCUCUUUUUCUCUUUGCAUUUUGAGUAGUUUAUGGUAGAAUUUUGCACUUUCAUGUUCCUAAUUUCGUGUUAUAUAAUGAUGUAUGUUUUGAAAAUGUAUAUGUACUAGACCAUGUGAUGUAGUACUAUAGUGCAUCUGGAGCUUUUUUGUGGGUUUUCUUUCUUUUAGAAUUUGUCAAUUUUUUUCUAUUUGUGCAUAGUUUGAGCUCGCUAUAUUUGGAGUUAUUUUUAUUUUGAAUUUUUAAUUUGACUUGAGAGUUGUAUUGUGAAUGACUUAGAAAAAUAACAAAGAGAGCCUAUAUGUAGAGCAAUGACAACUCGAAAGUGAUUUCGGAGAAAGAACAAACGUAUAGUUCCAUCUUAAGAGUAGUUCCAUUUUUGAAAAAAUGAGAAAAGAUCAUGUGAAUGUAAAGUAGGGCAUGUGUUUUCUUUCCUCCUUUGAAUUGUUUCCUUUUCAGAUUUGCUAAUAUUGAUCCAUUUGACGACUAAUUUUAAUGUUGUUUUCUUAUUUUUCUAGCAUAUGGCAAGAUGUAAGCACAAGGGUGGACAAGCAGAUGGAAAAAAAUAGCAUGUUCUCGGGGUCACUAGAAACCUUGUGGAUGCUUCAACUGGUAAUGAAAGCAAAUCGCUUUUCUCCACCGUAUUACAAUAACUAACUAUCUUAUUUUUCAUGAGUUCCCUUUUGGCUCAUUCAGUGUCAAAUGCACAAGCAGUGCAGAGAAGAACAAGGUAAACGUUCUGUAGCACAAUGUAAUUAUAGAAAACUUUAGUAUUUAGGAUAGAAAGGCGACUGGUCCAUAUAUGUUCAAAGUUUUCUUAUUUUGCAUAAACCACUUUAAGUGUUUUCAAUAGAGUUAUAGUAGGCUAUAUG